rnacentral:rRNA from 1 species
UCGAGAAUCUUCCGCAAUGGACGAAAGUCUGACGGAGCGACGCCGCGUGGUGGAUGAAGUCCUUAGGGACGUAAACACCUUUUAUGAAGGAGGAAGUUUAUUGACGUUACUUCAUGAAUAAGGGGCUCCCAAUUCUGUG